GGGGCCCCGCACAAGCAGCGGAGCGUGUGGUUUAAUUCGAUGCUACACGAAGAACCUUACCUGGGCUUGACAUACAGGUAGUAGUGAAGUGAAAGCGGAUCGAUCCUUCGGGGAGCCUGUACAGGUGCUGCAUGGCUGUCGUCAGCUCGUGCCGUGAGGUGUCGGGUUAAGUCCCGUAACGAGCGCAACCCUUGCUCUUAGUUAUACGUGUCUAAGAGGACUGCCGGCGGUAAGCCGGAGGAAGGUGGGGAUGACGUCAAGUCAGCAUGGCCUUUAUGUCCAGGGCUACACACACGCUACAAUGGCCGGUACAAUGGGUAGCUAAACCGCGAGGUGGAGCCAAUCCUGUAAAGCCGGUCUCAGUUCGAAUUGCAGGCUGCAACUCGCCUGCAUGAAGUCGGAGUUGCUAGUAAUCGCAGGUCAGCAAUACUGCGGUGAAUACGUUCCCGGGCCUUGUACACACCGCCCGUCACGUCAUGGAAGCUGGCAACACCUGAAGCCGGUGAGCUAACCCGAAAGGGGGGCAACUGUCGAAGGUGAGGCUGGUGACUGGGACGAAGUCGUAACAAGGUAACCAAGGGCGAA
rnacentral:rRNA from 1 species